CCUACGGGUGGCAGCAGUGAGGAAUAUUGGUCAAUGGCCGGAAGGCUGAACCAGCCAUGCCGCGUGAAGGUCAGUGCCCUAUGGGCGUUAAACUUCUUUUGUGCGGGAGCAAUAAUGGUCACGUGUGGCCAGACGAGAGUACCGUACGAAUAAGCAUCGGCUAACUCCGUGCCAGCAGCCGCGGUAAUACGGGGGAUGCAAGCGUUAUCCGGAUUUAUUGGGUUUAAAGGGUGCGUAGGCUGGGAGGUAAGUCAGCGGUGAAAUGCCCCCGCUCAACGGGGUGAAGUGCCAUUGAUACUGGCUUGCUGGAGUGCGGAUGCGGUGGGAGGAAUGUGUGGUGUAGCGGUGAAAUGCAUAGAUAUCACACAGAACACCGAUUGCGAAGGCAGCUCACGGAUCCGCGAUUGACGCUGAUGCACGAAAGCGUGGGUAUCAAACAGGAUUAGAUACCCUAGUAGUC
rnacentral:rRNA from 1 species